GGUGAGGUGGCUGAGUGGCUGAAGGCGCACGCCUGGAAAGUGUGUUUAGGUUAAUCCCUAACGAGGGUUCGAAUCCCUCCCUCACCG
rnacentral:tRNA from 1 species